rnacentral:pre_miRNA from 1 species
AAUAAAUUAAUCUUUUGCUUUUUUCUAUAAUGUUUGACUCUUUGUCUUAUUAAAAAAAUCAUGAUUAAUAUUUUUAUUUUUAUUAGAAGAUAAAUCAUGAAUAGUUUUUUACGUGUGACUAAUCUUUUCAAUUUCUUGAAAUUUUUUUAAAUAAGAUGGAUGGUCAUACGCUGUACAUGGAUAGUCAAAGUUUGUCUUAUU